GUUAAUUUUUUUUUAUUUUUUCUUAGAUGUUUUACUUGUGAUGAUUUAACUGUACUUGUCAGAAUCUGCUUUUGCUAACCGUCGCUGGUAAGCAUGCAAGAUCGAUUUCAUCAACAUGGUCGCUAUCGAAAGUAAUCAUGUACAUCUUUGAAAUAAGUGCAUAUCGGCUGAUGGUUUGCAGUGACGGGGAACACAUGCGAAAGCAAAAGACACAAUACAAAAUAUUUUCUUAUCCAGUAAAACCUUAUGCUCACAAACAUCACAGUCACCUUGAUGGUCAGACUGUUGACUCCCUUCUUGAAAUAUACUUUGCAGCUGUGCCAUGAGCCAUUUUGUCCCCCCUUCCCUUUUUUUUUAUAUUUAAAAAUAAGACUAAAAUGUAAUGUUGAACCAUUUCUGAGCGAUGAGGCUACUUGCUCUAAAAUAUUUGCCGUUCAUUGUCCAUUUGCUGAUUGUACAGCUAAAACAGCACAAGUAAGAGUCCGUUUUGCGCUAAUGCAAAGUUUCAAGAAGUUCUUCUGGCUUUAAAAAGAACAUGACAAACAUGAAUUUAACAGAAAUGGGCAGAGUUGUGGAUGCACUUAUCGUCGACAGAUGGAUGGUCGGUCUGGUCUCGUCUUUCACUGAAUUUUCAGUUUUAUGGCUUUUUUUUUUCCAGGUAUGUUCCAGAUUUUCUGUCAAAAAUAUUGAUGCUUCACAGUCGGUGCUUAAACCUGAAACUGAAAGCCUCAGCACUACGAAACAUUUGUUAGUCUUUUCCUGUCAGUUAAAACAGUCUGGCUGUAUGAAACCUGCUUCGUUUUAUACUCGCUGAACCAGUAUAAGGUGAGACACCAUUUGUCAAAGUAUUUAGAACAACCUUGGUCUUUUACACCAACUUUACAUCGUUGAAGUUACUAAAAUAAAAUCCACAGUAGUCCACCAUAUUAGGAAAACUUUUUCCUUUUGGGGCAUAUGUAAGAUUACUACUACAUACUAAAUUAUAGCAAGUUUAUCCCUUAAUCUUUAAUUACACAGAUGAUUUACUGUGAUUUAAAAAAUAUAAGUGGUGUUUACCCUUUGAGUUUCCCCUCUACUGAUUUCAUGUAAGUGGGAGAGGGAAAAUGAGACAGUAUCUAAAAUACAAAAAGAUAUCAAAGCACAAAAGUCAAAAGUAAAGCUCGAUUUUUACGGUACCUUGUAAGUAUGCCUGCCUAACUCCAGAAACCAACCGGAUGGGACAAGAUGGUGAAAGUGCACCUGGCAAUUCCAGGGUUUUAAUAUUUAAACUGUCAGACCUUUACAAGGUUCGUCAUCAUGUAACUAACCUCCACAUGCACAAAUCCAUCCACCGUAGUUUUCUCCAUGUCGUUAUCUAGCAAACGUGAAGCCAAACAUGAAGGAUAUGUGAAAGAAAGCACACACGCCUGAGAAUUUUAAAGGUCUUACUUUUCCAUUUUUAAAAAACGUCAAAGUUCAAACUGGUUCAAAUACUUUGGCAAAUGCUGAACAUGCUUUCUUCAAAACUGUAAAGUGAAAUCUGGGAAUACAUGCUACAAACAUCUUGGGGGUGGAGGCUUUAGAGUAAAAAGGGAAAAAAAACUGAACACUAUAUAUGCAGUUUUACAAAUGGAACAAAUAUGCAUGUACGUCUACUUUCUGGUAAUUUUUCACUGUUGACUUGAUAAAGAAAUGGAAAUUUAUUUGCAUCCACCAAGUUAUGAAAUGGUUGUCAGAUAUAUAAAUAUAAAAGUGUUAUUCCACAUAAAAAAAUCAUUAAAGAUUAGCUGAAGCCUUAGCUUGAUUGUGCUCCUUUUAAAGUUGAUACAUUGCAUUGUGACCUUACAAACAGAAGGGGCUACAUGUGUCUAAAUUCAAAUGGAUGCUGGAUUUUUUUUGCAUGACUAAACAAAUAAAAUCCUACAACAAAAAAAAUGGUUUCUUGUUUUGACUUGAGAAAUAAAGUAACCAAAAGAUAUUUAUCUUCCUAGCAUGCAGGUCUGAUCUGGAGGAAUUAUACCUACACUGAUGUACAGAUCUAGAAUCCUACAAUUAUCUGUCCUGGACCUUUUAAGAAUUCAGGUUUCAUUGUUCACCAAACAAAACAUUUUUCUUAAAUCUAUAAACAUGUCCCGAGUAUAAGGCUCUUAUUUCUCCGGCUAAAACUCAACUGGGCCAGUCGUUCCUAAAUCACUGUCAUAACGUGCUUAAGGAGACAAACACAGUACUCUUGAUGAUUUUUAAUUACACCAAAUGGAGACAUGUAAAAGUGGAAAAGGAGAAAACAUCAGGUCUCAUUGUCACCAUCAUGUUCAACACAACAGAAACGUGGACGUGUUCUGCAGGCAGGAGGCGGGUCACCUGCUCCAGUCGGACACAGAGCCUUUCCAGAAGUUUACACUCAACACCGUUUAGUCUUAGUGAUUUCUGUACAUCAGAGCAGGAGAGGAACUAUUAAUGACUACCAUGUGGUUAACUGUAUGACAGAGGAGGAUUUUAGUGGAGAUAAACAGUGUGUUGGGUCAUAAACAUCGUCUCCUAGGCAACCUGAACAUUCCCAGGCUCAGUCCCUCUCCCUCUCAAACCAACACACCAAAAACUUUCAUGGUUUUAUGUCCCACCGCAUCUGGCUUCUAAACCGUCGCACCCCAUCCUCUUCUUGGUCGGAUUAAGAAAGUGGAAUGAUUGAUUGCUCCAUGCAGAUAGUUAUUCUUCAGUGUAAAACAGAAGCUGGAACAGUUUUUGUUUUUCUUUGUGCUGACAUGCUUCAAGUUUUUAAAGAGUGUCCUGUUUAAAGAAUGUAGUUGUGGCUUCAGGCAGAAGACGAUCCAUCUGGCGUUGAAGAUACGAAGAAGAUCUGGGGAAAGGAGUCCUCAAGUCUGAGUUGAGAUUGCCUUUUUUUGGCUGUUGUGUGAACAUUGGCACUUAAAUCAGUUCACAGAGACUAACUAGUGCGCAUCAUAGAUCUGCCACGUUGGAGUAAAGUGGCAAACUGUCGCAGCAGUCUUUAAGGUGGUGGGGGGAAAUGUCAUUGUGAUAUUUGUAGUAUGUUGCUUCCUUGAUUCAAGGAAAAGAAAAACAGAGAAGGAAGCCACUUUUCUCCACUAAAGUGUCCUGGAUCUCCUAAAGAAACAGUUGAAUCUGGGACAUACAAUCUUUUCUCACUGUAGAUGGCUGCAGAAGAUUAGCUCUACAUAGCUUCAGACACACAGCUCCAAGGUCACCUUUCUCUGAGUCGCACACAAGCAAAGAGAAGUGCAAACAAUUGGAAAAGAAAGACAAGUUACAAGAAAACUGGCAAGAAAAUAGAGCAAAACUACUAAGAGAAAACAAAAAAGUUUCACUGUACCAGUAAACAUUACAGAGCCCCCUAGUGGACAAGGGGGAUUUUUCUUUUCGUUUUUAGCGUUACCUCGGAAAAGUAUUGCAUUCCCACACAAUACUUUUUGCGUUACCUCACUGUAAUGUUUUUAGUAGUCAGUUCAUGCGGCAUCUUGAAUAUUGAAAGUCUUUCUCCUACAAUUUAAGGUUUUUCCAUGAAGGAAUUCUAUGCUCAUAUCUCCUUUGAGUUAUCCAACAUGUUUAUAUCUUUAUCUUUUGGAUGAACACAGGUCAAACAUGAGCUUUCCAUUCCUACUGAAAAGAAAGACAUCCAAACUAUUUGAAUUUGUUAUUGCUGUGACUAUACAAAACAGGCUAGGGUGCAUUUGCAAAUUUAUUACGAGUGGGCGCAAUAUUUUUGUGAGGCAACGCAAAAAAAAAAA